UCAAGUACUGUGUUUCAUAUGAAAGAGAGGUGACAUAAAGGACAGGAUUCAGAAUAAGUCUGCCUUUCCAUCCUUAAGGUCCAUUCUCAAACUGGUAAGAAUUUUGUCCUGGAAAUACUGACAUUUCUCAUAGGGGCAAUGUAAUAUUUCAAUAACAGUAAGUCUUUGACUAUGCUAGUCAGCCUUGGAGCCUUGGGAAGUAUAUGUGAUAUAUGGUCUCCAUGACUGAAUAUGAUAGGUCAGUGUGUCCAUGGGUGAUGAACUCCUGAGUGCUUGGUCUGUUGCUUAACUGAGCCUCAAAGUACCCCUUUUAAUAAUGUCCCUGGAUUGAUGAUGACUGUAAUUAUUGAUCUCAGAAAAUCUGAACAAAAUGAGUGACCUAAUCAGUUCUGGGAAACUGAGGUCCAGCACAGAUACCCACCCUGUGCAAAAUAUGUGGAGGGAGUGUUGAGUUUGUUCAGUUGUGAGGUACCAACAGGGACUGUUGUAUUUGAAAGCUUACGAACGUGCAUGCGUUCGAUAAACUGAAUUAGGCAGAGGUCUGUACUUCUACAGUGUUGAGAUAAUAGUGAAACUCUCUGAGUGCUCACCUGGCAGCAUUAUUUAUGUACUUAGUAAACAGACUCUAGAGAGCCAGCACAUGAGAGCGGAAAAUGUGGGUAUGGUUAUGCUUACACAUGUUUGUCUGAGCUGCUGGAAUCUUCUGAGUAACAGUCUCUUUAGCGCAAUGAGAUGGUCAAAACUCAAAGAGAUCACAGGUUUCAUGGGUUUUUAUUCUUCAUUUCUACAUUAAGUGAAACAAUUACAUGGAAAUUGAAGCAUAGGUACUAUAUUUUGGAAUGUCUUCACAGUAUAUUUUAAUCUGCUCGCCAACCCAGUCUUAAGUUUUCAACUGUUGUUUAGUUGUGUCUCUCUUUUUCCUCCUAUCAUGUGAAGAAGAAGUUUCAUAUACAUUUGAUUGCUGGCUUCAAUUAUAUGCUGUAAUAAACAUUUUUAGAUGUGAAAUCAUGUUUAAAAUUCUUGCAUUUUUAUAUGGAUUUCAUGACUUCUGCCCUCAGUGUGUUUCAAAUGUGUAUAAGAGAGAUCCUGGUUGUAAUGCAUGGUUCUGAGGCAUGUGCUCUGGGGAACUCUGAAACUAAUGUCUUAUAAAAAAAAUUAAUCUGUAUACUACCAUGUUCCAAAUAGUGAGUGUAACUCUUCUGGUGAUAUCAGUUGUCCAGUGACUAUCUAUGGUGAAUGUUAUGUAAGCUUUUAUCAUUUAACAUUAUAUUAAGAAGAUUUUCUUUCUCAACCUCCCUAAUUUUUGCUUGUGCUUUGUAGGUUGGAAGUGAUGUUGAAUGGAAGGUACAUUUUAUUGCUUGGAAUUCUCACCACUACACCAAGGAACUGCUGUUUUUGUAACAGCUUUCUCACCUGGGAAUGGCAAGAACAAUGUAUUCCAGAGAUAACCCAAUUUUCAAUAAGUUUUUUGCAGGAUUAUUUUUGUUAUUGUUUUUAAGAAGUCAGGAAUUCACAUGGUUUUUUAAGGACUGUUAAUUCAAAUACUGUGAGGCAUUAAUAAUAUGGUAGAUAUGGACCAAAAACUAGGUUUCAUAUGGAUGAGUUUCUUCCUACUCCUUGAUAUGUGCCAUGAAGGAAAGUAUUAGGAAUAAUUCUGCCUUCCAUCCUCAAGGGCCAGCAGGAAUUCUAAUAUCAUAGAUUAGAGGUGAUAUUGAAGUUGGAUGGAAUUCCUCCCACUUCUUCAAGGAACUGCUGAUUUUGUCACUCAUACCAGCUCCCUUCUACGGAAAUAAUCACAACAAUGCACU